UAACAAACAGUGUCCAAAACAAAGCAUACAUCAUGCAAAAUCAGACUACAAAAAGAAUUUCUUUGCAUAUUUUAUCAGAAAAAGUUUCCUCUCUACACAUUCUUUUAUUCGGUUGCAAACUGAAUCCAAACAAUUCCCCGUUUGUUAAAACCAAAGCUCAAGUACCUACGCUUCGAACGCUUCUCGUCUGUUUCAUUCGAUUCUUGGCCAGUCUUUUGCUGCGCAUCUGGUUAAUGUUUCGAUGUUCUUGAACAUGGAUCUAUUGACACCGAUACAUUUCAAACGCUUACAAGCUAAUCACGCCGUAGAGCGAGAUUCAAACAAACCCAAACCCCAAGUCAGCAAUCGUAAGGCAUUCGUUUUCGUUACCGGAAUGCUUGUGAAUAUCUCUUGCUAAAGUGCGAUCUUGUUCUCAAGAUUUGCUUGCGUUCGUUCUACACUCCAUGAGUCAAGCCGUUUCACUGAACGGUAAAACGGCCUCAAGUGGAUGGCAAGCUCAAAACUUUCGCCCCGAUGUUAUGCUUUCAAUUGUGUAGUUAAUUCUUUCCUGCACCGGACGGCUGUUUUGUGGCGGAAGUUUUCGUGUCAGCUUGUUUAUCAUCGCAUCGUGGCUAGCGAAAAGAGAAUUUGCCUUAGUGAGUCACUGUCAACAGAGUACUGCAAUGAAACGUGUUUAUCCGCAAUGGUAAAUGUGUUCACUGCGCACAACAGCCACGUCGUGUAUAAAUCCGCUUUUUUUUUAGAAAGUCUCACCAAACGGAACAACUACUUAUCAAGGGCUUUCAAUUUUCCAUGAAACACUUCUCCAAAUGCAGAAUGGUAUUGGCUAUCUUACUCAUUUCCUAUGUAUUAUUGGUCAUUUCCUGUGAUGUUUACAUUGUGUCAUCAAUCGAGCAAUAGUUGAAGCUAAAAACAGGGAGUUUACACGUCCGAGUGUGGCCAGUAUUGAGAACUAAUGCUAACAUUGCAUUGCGAACUAUUUAAUAUACAUCCAAAUCAGUACAGCAAUUAGCACAUUUAUUACUUAAGUACAAUAAACACUAUCCAUCUUAUAUCCAUCCUUCGAAAUAUGCAGCAUUACAAAUAGUAGAGUUGUUGUUUAAUAUCGAACGUUUCGAAGUGAGACUUUCCGAGCUACUUGAUACAGAACUGAUGCUCCUACCGUCACCAGCACAUCGCAAAUCAUCCACAGACAAAGGUACAUUGCUGUAAUGAUUUAGCUUCUUUGCAUCCUGUUGCAGGUUUCCUUGCGAAGUAAUCAGCGGAAGACUGGUCGAGAAUUGCCGAUGAACGCGCGAAGGAUGAUAUGACGCGCUAUCACUUUCAUCUUCUUCAUCGAUUGUCUCGUAAAUGUGUUUGUUCAACGCAAGUCUGUUGUUAUCGGUGGAAGAUUCAAUUUGUAACGUUUCCACAGUGUACACAACGUCCUGGUAGAUAUGAGGCAACUGUAACAGUUCCAAUGAUGAGUAAUGCUCACUAGGUUUGUUUUCAUCAAUCGUGGCAUACGUGUGGAUGCAAAAUAUUACCCGGAUGCUGUUUGCACGUAGUGCAACCACUUGUGCCAAACAUUAUGAAACAAGUUUACGACAGUUUUUACGAGCGAACAACUCCCGCUUGGGUACGGCUAAUUAACCCAGCCCGAACCACACACACACACUUCAACCAUCGUUCCCGCGGGGCCCCUAGGUGCUCCGUUUAGUAAAGUAGUGUUAGAAGCUAAAGUGCAGAAGAUAAACAAGUUACAGCUUCAACAAAACACAACAAUACCGCUGCCGAUCGACCUUCUCUUCUUACUUCGCUUGGUGCAACAAACAUCGUUAAAUCGAUUCCAUAGACAUUGCACUAUAAACACAGCAGCAACAGAGUUCUCCCGCUGUUCUGUGCCAUAUGUGUGUAUGUGCGGCAUUUGUUUGAAGCGAAAGAAGCUUGGUUGCUUCCUUGAAUAUCUUGACUACGUCGUUUCCCUCUAAGAAAGAGCAAAAGAAGAAACAAUAUCGCGAUAUAAUUGUUUCUUGGGAUUAUUACCUUAUCAUGGAUUGUUUAGAAACAAAGCCGCCAUUCAAAUGAACGUUAAUUUAAUUUAAUCUAAUCGAAUUUAUUGUUUUAUCAAAUUUGAUAAGAUAAUCGUUCGUACGGCACUGUACGAAUGCCGAGAAGAACUGAAAACUUUGAAAACGGGUCGGAGUUGGUCAGACCAUUCUUUAACAAGAACCAGUAGUGUUCAGAUCAUUGUUCGAGUGAAAGCGCAAGCGUUUAAAUUGUAGGAAAAUCAAUAUUUUGUUAGAAAAUAAAAAGUGUACAGUGAAAUUCUUCUAAGUGAUAGAACAUAUUUCGUCAAAGUACUUUGCAGCAAAGAUAAGUUCAAUUAAAAUUACAGCUCAUUUAACGAUGUUUGUUACAUGCCUGCAGUUAGUCGCUUACGCUGCAACCACCAUUACGGCAAGGUUGUACUGUUUGUUAUCUUAUCAGUUUUGUUGGCGUUUUCUAGGAAUAUUCACCCCAGCACCACCAGUCACAUUGGCGGAUGAGUGCACAGCACCUUAUGGCAAAAUCCAGGAUGGAUUUCAUUAUUUGAAUUAGCCCCGACACUUCCGGCCUCUCUACACAACUAUACGGGACAAAAAUCAUCACCAUGGAAAAUGGAGCACACCAAAGCAGAACGAGUGGAUCGUCGCUCGACUUCCCGUCGCUUCCAGCAUUUUCCGGUACCACCACCGGAACACUCACACACACAUAGAGAAAUGGUUUUGUUGACAACAAAGAGGAAAGAGAGAGAGAAAGAGAGAGAGAAGUCAUCUUAUCCCUAUUUGAGGGGGUAAGGGCGCUCCCAGCUUACCUUUCUAUGCUCGCCUGAACGUGCACACUAGAUCUUCCGCUUCACACGAUCACGACCGACGUCCGUCUGGUCACAGGAAGUUUACACGGUGUCGUCGUCGUGUUGUGUUGUGUUGUUUGCUUGUUGACUUCCACUGUUCCUGUCUUUAAGAACGAUCCAUACGCGAACUACACUGUAGUAGCACACCUACACACUGCGAUAACGCGACAAAACCUGAUCGUAUGCAGUUAGUUCACUUCCGGUCUCACAGCACUGGUGUGUUAAUGGCGAUCGUUAUUGGUAAACGUGGCCAACCGUCGUCGUUGCUGCUGCUGGCGCCUUUGCGCCUGUGUGUGCUUUAGAUGUCACUUAUUCCACUCACGUACAGGGCCGGAAAGGGGCGACACACACGUGCACGCCCCAGUAGUAGCUGUAAUCACACACUAAAAGGGGUCACAUAGAUGGUCAGCAUACCUCCAACAAGUAGCUGCCAAUAUUCGCACGUAUGUGUAUAUGUGUUUCCAGCACAAAAACCGAUCACUUAAGCGCUGGGUGAAUAAUACUCCUGCCUUUUGCUCUUCCACAUUGCACCACUCUCCCCGUGUUCCAAGAGUAACCCACAACACUGCUUCCGUUGCUAAGCACACUUCACUUUAAGCUGAACAUCCUGCAAAAAUGAGACAAAAAUCAAAAACACGUUAGAACAAACACACACGUAGACACUUUUCUUUCGCUCUCACGCAAGCACAAACAUGAAUCAUUGCAAUUGUUGGAAGGCCCGCCGCAACAGUGCCAUCACAAAACAAGCGAAGCAAUGGCAGCGACAUAAACAAAACAUCAUUUUAAACAAACACACACACACACACACACGCACACAUAGGAACACAACACACAGAGCGAACUUUCAAGUUUCGUGCACACGAAACGCAGCGUGUGUCGAUUAAUUCGAGGGAAUUGACCUCGAAUUUAACGCUCAACUUUUUGUUUCUUCAUGACGGCCCCUUGUCGUUGGAUGGAAUUUAAUCUUUUUUUGACCACGAAAGACACAAGACCUCGGACAAAACGGCAUGCCAAGAUGGAGACGAUCAGUUGCGCCCGGGCAACGACGUUGUAACGAGAAGGAACGAGAAGCGCCUACUACUACACACUCUGUAACGUUAUUGAGAUGAAUUCUGAUUGGACAUACGCGCGGAUGAGUCAUCGUCUUGUGUCUAGGGAGAAACAAUACGUUUUUGUUUUGUGAUCUACGUCACUAGCACAACACACACACCGUGGCGACCUUUUGUAGAGCCUCGGCGGGUUUGUGAUGAUCGAUACACGGAACACUUCGUACUGCAAUCUCUCACUCACUCAAAAUGAUUAUUAUGCUUCGAUUUGCUUCGAUGUGUUAUGAUGGAUCGCGACGAGCAUCGUUCGAGCUGAUAGUGGAAGAGCACUGGACAAACACACUUCCGCAAGCACAAGUACAGUAACAUUGUGCAGUUAUCAGCGGGUUUAACGAUUAUUUGCAACACCACCGCCACGGGCUCAACGUAGCAACACCAAACAUAUUUUAUGCUCUUAUGCAUUUGCUAGCACAGGUAACACAGAGCCACGCGUAAACACACACAUACACAUACUCUAAAAAAAAGCACAGAGGCAGCUUUUUUAGCUCACGUUCUUUCCUCACAUUCACACACAGCGCACACAAAGAAAGCGCUGUGCAGCGCUUACCUCUACACCUUCUUGUUUGCUUCCUUUUUCUUCUUUUUCUUCUUCACUCCAAAAUACCGGUUCUCAGGUACUAACGCGUCGAUUUCUUACUUCCCCUCUCACUCUCUCUCUCUCGCCGCACACCUUUGUUGUACACACAAGCCCUAGGGGGGGGAGAGCAAGCCCACCACACCAACACCAAGUCGCAUCCAAGGUACACAAGGGAGCGGAAGAGAAAGAAGAACCGACGAAAACGAGCUUUAAACACACCACCACACACACGACCACCUUCGAACGUACAAACUAGUUUCCCAUCUUUCUACCUGGCCUAUUCUUCUUCUUCCCCCAUCAACCGCACCGACGCGCUUUUACCUAUAGAAGGCACACCACACACACACACACACACACACACACACACACGGGAGCGCGCGCCAUCACCGGUUGCUUUGUACGCCUGCUUCGUGUCGUGUCGCUUCACCUUCUUUCGCAAUUCUUUUCCACCUGCCUUCGUCGCACGCCACCGCAAACCCACCCCGCUGGCUACUACUACACCACCGUUGAUAUGAUCACAAAACCACCACCACCACCACCAUCAUGGCAAUAGAACGCAUGAGGAAUGAGGCUUCCUUCUCUCAAGAGUAACACAAUUUGAUUUUCGUUUCGCGCAACGUACAUACGGCCAUUGCACUGAUUCGUGUUCAACGCUCCAGCGGGGAGAAAUGUGUUUCGACCCACGUUCACCUGAAGAAGAUCAUCGUCGCUGAUUGAAAUCACUGGCGGAAGAAGAAUGGUGGUAGAAAGCACACCGACACACACACACACACACAAACGUUGGCACGCUUCAGGAAGCCCUACUCUGCAAGUAGUUGUUACACUACACACACAAUCCCCUCUUCACUCUGCGGUACAGCCCACAAAUUCAAAUUUCGGUUAAUCAACAAACAAUAGAGCAACUUACGUUUCAAAUUCAACGCCACGCAACACACGCACGCACGUCCGUUCGGUUCAACUUUCUGGAGACCAAAA